rnacentral:rRNA from 1 species
UCGGGUGCAGCAGGCGCGAAAACUUUACAAUGCGGGAAACCGUGAUAAGGGAACUCCGAGUGCCCGUAAAAUCGGGCUGUCCAUCUGUUUAAAUAACAGGUGAAGAAAGGGCCGGGCAAGACCGGUGCCAGCCGCCGCGGUAAUACCGGCGGCUCGAGUGGUGGCCACUAUUACUGGGCUUAAAGCGUUCGUAGCUGGUCUGUUAAGUCUCUGGGGAAAUCUACUGGCUUAACCAAUAGGCGUUUCAGGGAUACUGGCAGACUAGGGACCGGGAGAGGUGAGGGGUACUCUAGGGGUAGGAGUGAAAUCCUGUAAUCCUUGGGGGACCACCUGUGGCGAAGGCGCCUCACCAGAACGGCUCCGACAGUGAGGGACGAAAGCUGGGGGAGCAAACCGGAUUAGAUACCCGGGUAGUCCCAGCCGUAAACGAUGCGCGUUAGGUGUAUCGGUGACCACGAGUCACCGAGGUGCCGAAGAGAAAUCGUGAAACGUGCCGCCUGGGAAGUACGGUCGCAAGGCUGAAACUUAAAGGAAUUGGCGGGGGAGCACAAUCACUAGUGAAUU